rnacentral:rRNA from 1 species
UGGGGAAUAUUGCACAAUGGGCGAAAGCCUGAUGCAUCAACGCCGCGUGAACGAUGAAGGUCUUCGGAUCGUAAAGUUCUGUUGCAGGGGAAGAUAAUGACGGUACCCUGUGAGGAAGCCCCGGCUAACUACGUGCCAGCAGCCGCGGUAAUACGUAGGGGGCUAGCGUUAUCCGGAUUUACUGGGCGUAAAGGGUGCGUAGGUGGUCCUUCAAGUCGGUGGUUAAAGGCUACGGCUCAACCGUACUAACCCGCCGAAACUGGAGGACUUGAGUGCAGGAGAGGAAAGUGGAAUUCCCAGUGUAGCGGUGAAAUGCGUAGAUAUUGGGAGGAACACCAGUACCGAAGGCGGCUUUCUGGACUGCAACUGACACUGAGGCACGAAAGCGUGGGUAGCAAACAGGAUUACAUACCCUGGUAGUCCACGCUGUAAACGAUGAGUACUAGGUGUCGGGGGUUACCCCCCUCGGUGCCGCAGCCUACGCAUUAAGUACUCCGCCUGGGGAGUACGCACGCACGUGUG